rnacentral:lncRNA from 1 species
AGAGAAUGGAGAAGGAGAAGACGAAGGAUUUAUCGACGGAGAAAGGACGAGAAGAGAACGUGAGGGAGAGAAGGAGGAAGCCUCAAUCGUGUUCGCCGGAGUGGUAACGGAGCCGAAUUCCAAAGUACCCAACCGUAACAAAACUCGUUUUCCCUUGAAGAUUCUUCUCUGGGAUCGGAGGCUAAAAGUCUCCGUCGUUA